rnacentral:lncRNA from 10 species
GUGAGUAUGUGUUAUUAGUGCUGUGGCCCCAACCUCUUGGCACGCUUGGGGCUCUCAAGGCAGAGGGGCAGAAGGCAGGGAACAGACUAAGCUGGCAUAGGGCAGUGGUGGCAUGGGGAAGGGGACCAGUAGGGACCAAUGAGCUGGCAGCAGCAAGUUCCUAAUGCAAGGUGGAGUACUGACAUGUUUUGUUUUGCCAUCACCCACGCCUGAGGUAGCCAGAAGUCAGGGCUUCCAGGAGAUGGCUGCAGUUCUUGGUCAUAGCUAAGUGUCCAAGGUACAAAUCAGAGAUUUGCCUAAGCUAAUGUAAGGAAGCAGGGACCAGCCCCAAGAAAGCGAGCUGGCAGGGGGUAGCUGAGAGAGUCCAAGCCUCCAGUUCCUGAGGCUGGGGGGCAAGGGGCUGGGCCCUAGAUUCAAUGAGGUUACAGCUAGGAACUGGGGACAUGAGGAAAAGGCCUAUGAAGUAAUCUGACUAUGUAUCCUGGGCAUGAGCCUGCUAGCAGAGAUGAAUAAGGCUGAAGAAGCAAGUCCCUGGAGAGAAAGGAAGAGAUGAGAGAGACCCCCAAGUUGUGUGAUCACCUCCAGCACACUGGAGACUGAGCCGUUUCACAAGAUCAUUCAUUCUAGGAGAGACCUUGGGAGGAGAAGUCAUGAGGACAGUCAACCAGCUCUUUGAAGAAGUCCACAUGCUGAGAAACUGAGGCCUCCUGCCAACAGCCUUGUGAGUGAAUCAUCUUGGAGGUGGAUCCUCCAGCACCUGUAAAACCUUCAGAUGACCACAGAUCUGGCUGACAUUUUGACCUCAAUGUUAUGAAAAAUCUUGAGGCAGAAGCACCCAGCUAAGCCAAUCCUGUAUUCUUCACCUACAGAAACUAUGAGCUAGUCUUCAAUCUGGUCUGGAGUUCAAGCCCUGCCUCUGGAGUCAUGUCCCACCUCCUACUUCACCAGUACCUGCCCUCUCCUCCUGAUUAGUGUAAGGUUAGCUCAUUUUAGAGUCUAUACCACUGGGAGGGCAGAGGAAAUGUGCCAGAUUCACCAUUUAUUGUUUUGUAAUAUGAGGUAGCUAAAUGCUUUCACUCUACAAUGAAAACUCCUUAGAUUAGUCAAUUAGGAUUCAUCCAUGAACCAAGAAGGUGAGUCUAUUUUUUUUUUGCCUUCUUUUGCAGAAUAACUCUGACAUUAAUGGAGAAGAGGAACAGAAAGUGUGCUAGGACCUGUUAGCACACUUUCUGCUAGCAUAUCAUAUCUGUUUUUUAUAAAAAACACAUUGUCUUACACUUAACAUUUUCAUUUAUAUUAGUUCUAUAAUUCCUCCCCAAAAGAUUAUGAAGGAGGUAUAAUUAGCUCCAUUUUUUGGAUGAAGAAACUGAAUAGAACUUGAGCACAGCCUAAUUUAAUGCUUUUUCCUCUAAUCUACACUGUCCAAAAUGAUAGUCACUAGGCACAUGUGGCUAGUAAGCAUGUGAACUUAUAGCACACUUAAGCACUUGAACUUACAUGUAGCUCAUAAGCACUUGAAUUUACAUGUGGCUAGUAAGCACUGGAAAUGUACUGAAUUGACAUGUGCUAUAAAUAGUAUAAAAUCCACAUAGGAUUUCAAAGAUAGUAUGAGAAAAAUAAUGUCAAAUAUUUUCUUAAAUUUUACACUGAUUACACAUCGAAAUGAUAUUUUGAACGUGUUCAUAUUGUUAAAAUUGAUUCCAUCUGUUUCUUUUUACUUAAAUUUUUUAAAAUUGUAAAUUAUUAUUAUGAGUACAUGACAGUUCUUUUUACUUUUAAAUGUGAUAUGGUUACUAUAAAACGUGAAAUUAUACGUAUGGCUUGCAUUUGUGUCCCAGGUUAUAGUUCUACUGGACAGAAAUGCUCUAAACUAAGGCUGAUAUUUUCAGACUCACAACCUCAAGUUACCCCAAGACAGCCCUCAUAUCAUCUCAGGGUCGCUAGGAGGGGAGAAAAAAAUAUAACAGAUUGUAUAAUUGAUAACCCCCUGUUUUUUAUGUUUUGAUAUUUCAUCACGAAAGGGAAGAAACUGAGCACCCUGGUGAUACUGGGGCAGAAGGAUCAGAUGCUAUCCAAUAUCCCGGUGACUUUCUUUGAAGUAUAAUUUUAUGUCAAAAGGCCUUUCCAAACUUAUUCAGGUGUACAAAGCACUAAGGAAAAGUUCAGACCCCUGAGCCAGAAAACUUCAUUUUCCACAUUAAGAUCAAAGGAGUAUGCGGGAGAGAUGUGGCAUUCCCAGUACUGGGGGUUCUGUUAUAACAGGGUCAGAGAGAGGGCCAGAAAGGGAGGAGAAAAGCAAAAGACUGCCCAGAAAGUCAGCCAGUGAAAGCAAGUGACUCAUGUAUACUUUCAUGUACUCAUUAAUGUAGCAAAUAUCCACUUAUUGUCUGUUAUUCAUUGCCUAAUGUGUCCUCAUUAUCUAUAGGCACUGCUCCAAAUUCUAGGGAUACAGUGGUGACCAAGGAUCAAGGUUUCUGCCCUCUAAGAAUUUGUUUUGUAAAGACAAUAGAGAAUAAUAUACAAUGAAUAAGUAAAUAUGAUAACUUCAGAUUCUACUAGUUAGAUUAUAGGUUGGCUGCUAUAACACAGAGACCCAAAUAGCAAUGGCUUAAGCAAGAGAGAACUUCAUUUCUUUCUCAUGUAUAAUAACAAUCUGCGAGUGAGCAGUCUAGGGUGGGAUUAGCACUCCUAUAGUGUUAGAGACCCAGGUUCCUUCUGUCUUGCUGACCUGCCAGUACUGUAUCUGUGGUUAUCUACAAGGUUCGAGAUGGAUCACCAUCUCAGGCAAGCAGGAAGGGAAAGAGAAAGUGAAGGCCUCUCCUCUUCCUUUUAAGGAUGUGACCUAGAAGUUGCACACAUUGUUUAAUUCACAUCCCA